rnacentral:rRNA from 1 species
GAGGUGGCUGCCUGGGAUGAACUCCUCCAGGACAUCGCCCUGCUACCUAUGGACGUGGCUGACUCCCCGGAUGCCAUCUCUUGGCACCUAGAUCCCUCCGCCUUCUCCACCAAAUCCCUUUACGCGGCUAUUGCCCCCUCGUCAGCCCCGGAGCCCUUCGGCCUUAUCUGGGACAUCCGCCUCCCACUUAAGAUUCGGAUCUUUCUGUGGCAGUGGAUCCGCGGCCGCCUCCCGACCGGCGUUGAGGUCCGUAAGCGCCAUGGUCCUGGUGAUGGAAUGUGCCCCCUGUGUGGCACGGUAGAGGACGCUAAUCACAUCUUCUUCUCGUGCUACACGGCACAGUUCCUUUGGUCGUGUUUCCGCGAAACGGUUGGCGGACAGUGGUGCAAUACCAACUUCCCUGACUUGCUUGCGGAAAUUCAAGCCUCCCCCCCUCGCUACAGACAUAUUAGAUGGUUGUGCGUCGGGGUGCUUGCCUGGACCUUGUGGACGGUUCGCAAUAAGCUCGUCAUUCAGAAGGUGCCCCUUCGACGUGCGACUGACUCCAUCUUUAAAAUGUGUGGUUACUUGCAGCUCUGGCGGCCGCUUAGCCGCCCUCCGGACCGGGACGCCAUCGACAGUCUCCUCAUCGACCUUCGUUCGUUGGCCUUCCGCCUGGCACCUCCGCUCCCGCCGCCACCCCCGGAGCCCGACUAG